rnacentral:rRNA from 1 species
CCAAUAGCGUAUAUUAAAGUUGUUGCAGUUAAAAAGCUCGUAGUUGAAUUUCGGGAUCAGUUGGUCGGUCGUGCCUCGGUACGUACUGGUCAAAUUGAUUCCUACCUUCUGACGAACCACGAUGUCAUUAAUUUGGUGUCGCGGGAAAUCAGGACUGUUACUUUGAAAAAAUUAGAGUGUUUAAAGCAAGCUCGCGCUUGAAUACAUUAGCAUGGAAUAA